UUCUUUUUUCUUAAAUUCUCUAAGUUUGCUUACUAUUUGUUGUUGUUCAUGUAAUACUAUUGCAGGGGGGAAACCAAAUUCAUUCCGCAACAAAAGCAGGCACUUUGAGAAAGGUUAGUAAGAAUCUUUGUUUACCAAAUUGCAACUCUAAUUGUCAAAAAUAUGUUAUAGAGCAACAUGAAUCUGAACGUUAGGUUAAUCACAAUGAACUCAACUCAACUAAAUAAUAAAGUCUUGAUUGUUUGAAGGUAUUUUCCUAUUGAUGUAUUCGUUGAAGACAACAAAAGAAUUUUGUAUAACAUUGCACGAUUUCUCUCCAAACAUGCCCUCAUUUUCAUAGCCAAAUUUGCAUAAAAUGGCGGCGUCUUCAACUGGAUUCCUCUCUAAAGCAAGGACGGCCUUCCACUAAAGCCAAGAAAGUCUUCACCGACAUACAAAAAAAAAUUGAGAUCUAUGUUUGUGUGUGUGUGUGUAUGUGUAUGUUUUUAAGGUUUGUGUUGAGUUUGUAUCGUAUACUUUAUUAUGUGACUCUUGACUAAUUAUCUGAAUCAUCUCUGAUACUGAAGAUAUGGCCGACCAAUCGUUGUUUGAUGAGAAAAACGAUUCCCUUGAUGAUGUGAUCGUUCAAGGGUGAGUUUAUAUCCAAUCUAAAGCGUUUUUCAAUUUCAAUUGUGAAGUUAGAUUAUGGUGUUCAAAUUGAUAAUUAGAAGAGUAAUCGAUGUAGAUAAGAAAAUAAUAAAAAUGAUAUGUUUAUUAUUUAUUUCUUUUAAUUAUUACUAUUAUAUUGAAAACUGUUGCUUGCUGAAUAUUUUUUUCUUUUUGCAUAGGUGAUCAAUUUCAACUAACUUCAUUUUAUGCAUAUUUAUACAGGAUGUUAACUGACAAGGUUGUUUCAGUAUGUAAGUAUUAACUUUGCGUUUAAUUCGAUGAAUAUAAAUAUAACUUAAUUUUAUUUGUUUUUACCGAUGCUUGUGUUAACAGAAAAAAAGUGUGUAUCCACUCUCAAACGGUGGUGGUAUGUAGAAAAUGGCAAACCAUGUUAAUGCCAAUCGACGGUGGUCACUGGUGAUUGAUGGAGGAACCCGUAUGGUUGUUGAUAUGCAUGGUGAUAUAUGCUUUGUCUCUGGGAAAAAGUGAAGAAUGGUUCAGAAGGUUAUUAGGCAUUUCUGAAGUGCAUUGAACAGUACUGCUCAUAAAUUAUUACUCUACCACAAUUGGAAUUGCAAGUAACCUUAUGUACAUGAUAUGCUCAUGUGUGAAAUGAGGCAGCGAAAGACAAUGUUAACGGAACUUGGUGUGCCUUUGACUUCUAUGAGUUAAACAACAAUGGGGUAGGUUUAACUUUUGUUAAACAAGUAAGUAUAUCCGCUGCUUUAACUGUUCUCUUUUUCAUUGAAUCACACAAUAAACAUCGAUAACAAAGCAACAUGAUUGGAAGCUCAACUUGCGUUGGUCACACCUUUG
rnacentral:lncRNA from 1 species